UUGAUCUGGUACUCCCUGUAUAUAGCUCCACAUUGAUCUGGUACUCCCUGUAUAUAGCUCCACAUUGAUCUGGUACUCCCUGUAUAUAGCUCCACAUUGAGCCUGUACUUCCGUAUACUCCAGUGUAUUUAGUAUUAUUCCCCGUUUUACAUUAUUUAAUGUUUUAACUCUGCAUCGUUGAGAAGGGCUAGUAACCAAUCAUUACAUUGGGGACAUUGCCCUGUGUACGGUGCUGUCUUUCAGAUGGGAUGUUAAAUGGGUGUCCUGACUCUCUGAGGUCACUAAAGAUCCCAUGGCGCUUAUCGUAAGAGUAGGGGCGUUAACCCCUGGUGUCCUGGCUAAAUUCCCAAGAUGGCCACCUAAUCAUCCCCAGCUUCCAAUUGGCUCAUUCAUCCCCUUCCUCUCCCCUGUAACUAUUCCCCAGGUCGUUGCUGUAAAUGAGAACGUGUUCUCAGUCAACUUACCUGGUAAAAUAACGGUAAAAUAAAAAUAAAAUAUAAAACAAUGUUAAAGUCUACAAACAGUAGGUAUUCGGCACACGUGACAUAAAACUUGAUUUAUAGUUUUGAAGAAGAGGAUAUUUUCCAGAAGACCCAGGGGGUGGCGCCACCGUGUGGACAGCAGGUGUAAAUGCAGCAGCAGCGUAGCAACAUGAACGCUCUCCUUUCCUCCUCACUGCUCCCUCACCAGAGACGCCACAUGGACAUUAUACAUGGCUGCCUGCAGACGACACAAACAGACAAAGAUGGCCGUCAUAACCAACAUAAUAAAACAAUAACCUCUAGCUUAGGGUCAGGGGUCAGCUGUAUGAAGCCUACCUCAGGGUCAGGUGUCAGCUGUAUGAAGCCUACCUCAGGUCAGGGGUCAGCUGUAUGAAGCCUACCUCAGGGUCAGGUGUCAGCUGUAUGAAGCCUACCUCAGGGUCAGGGGUCAGCUGUAUGAAGCCUACCUCAGGGUCAGGGGUCAGCUGUAUGAAGCCUACCUCAGGGUCAGGAGAAACAGACAGGUCUCAGCUGGGUCAGGAGAAACAGACAGGUCUCAGCUGGGUCAGGAGAAACAGACAGGUCUCAGCUGGGUCAGGAGAAACAGACAGGUUUCAGCUGGGUCAGGAGAAACAGACAGGUCUCAGCUGGGUCAGGAGAAACAGACAGGUUUCAGCUGGGUCAGGAGAAACAGACAGGUCUCAGCUGGGUCAGGAGAAACAGACAGGUCUCAGCUGGGUCAG
rnacentral:lncRNA from 1 species